UACGUAGGCAGCAAGCGUUGUUCGGAGUUACUGGGCGUAAAGGGUGCGUAGGCGGCUUUUUAAGUUUGGUGUGAAAUCUCCCGGCUCAACUGGGAGGGUGCGCCGAAUACUGAGAGGCUAGAGUGUGGGAGAGGAAAGUGGAAUUCCUGGUGUAGCGGUGAAAUGCGUAGAUAUCAGGAAGAACACCCGUGGCUAAGGCGGCUCUCUAGUACGGUACUGACGCUGAGACGCGAAAGCGUGGGGAGCGAACAGG
rnacentral:rRNA from 1 species